rnacentral:rRNA from 1 species
GACGAACGCUGGCGGCGUGCCUAACACAUGCAAGUCGAACGAACAGUCCGGGGUUAGUGGCGGACGGUGGGGUAACAGGUUGGAACAUGCGUUUAGGUUCGGAAUAACUCAGGGAAACUUGUGCGAAUACCGGGUUUGCACUGCGGAGGAAAGCUUUAUCGCCUUUGGGGGGGGGCGCGUCUGAUUAGCUAGUUGGUUGAGGUAGUGUCACACCCAGGCGGCGAGCAGUAGCUGGUAUGAGAGGAUGAUCAGCCAGAUUGGGAAUGAGACACGGCCCAAACUGGUAGGGGCGGCAGCAGUGGGUGAUCUAGUGGAAGGAGCGAAAGCCUGCCGCAGCCAUGCCGGGUGAAUGAUGAUGGUCUUAGGAUUCUAAUAUUAUUUCAGCGGAGACGAUAGUGACGGUACCUGCAGAAGAAGCCCCGGCUAACUACGUG